rnacentral:rRNA from 1 species
GACAGAGGUCCCGAGCGUUAGGCGGAAUCACGUGGGCUUAAAGCGUGUGUAGGCGGAUUUGUAAGUACCUUGUGAAAUCCCACAGCUUAACUGUGGAACUGCUUGGUAUACUGCUUAUCUUGGGCCACUUAGGGGUUACCGGAACAAACGGUGGAGCGGUGAAAUGACGUAGAUAUCGUUUGGAACGCCAAUGGUGAAAACAGGUAACUGGGAGUGUGCCGACGCUGAGACACGAAAGCCAGGGGAGCGAACGGG